rnacentral:rRNA from 3 species
UUAAAUUGAAGAGUUUGAUCAUGGCUCAGAUUGAACGCUGGCGGCAGGCCUAACACAUGCAAGUCGAACGGUAACAGGAAGCAGCUUGCUGCUUUGCUGACGAGUGGCGGACGGGUGAGUAAUGUCUGGGAAACUGCCUGAUGGAGGGGGAUAACUACUGGAAACGGUGGCUAAUACCGCAUAACGUCGCAAGACCAAAGAGGGGGACCUUCGGGCCUCUUGCCAUCAGAUGUGCCCAGAUGGGAUUAGCUUGUUGGUGAGGUAACGGCUCACCAAGGCGACGAUCCCUAGCUGGUCUGAGAGGAUGACCAGCCACACUGGAACUGAGACACGGUCCAGACUCCUACGGGAGGCAGCAGUGGGGAAUAUUGCACAAUGGGCGCAAGCCUGAUGCAGCCAUGCCGCGUGUAUGAAGAAGGCCUUCGGGUUGUAAAGUACUUUCAGCGGGGAGGAAGGUGUUGCGGUUAAUAACCGCAGCAAUUGACGUUACCCGCAGAAGAAGCACCGGCUAACUCCGUGCCAGCAGCCGCGGUAAUACGGAGGGUGCAAGCGUUAAUCGGAAUUACUGGGCGUAAAGCGCACGCAGGCGGUCUGUCAAGUCGGAUGUGAAAUCCCCGGGCUCAACCUGGGAACUGCAUUCGAAACUGGCAGGCUUGAGUCUUGUAGAGGGGGGUAGAAUUCCAGGUGUAGCGGUGAAAUGCGUAGAGAUCUGGAGGAAUACCGGUGGCGAAGGCGGCCCCCUGGACAAAGACUGACGCUCAGGUGCGAAAGCGUGGGGAGCAAACAGGAUUAGAUACCCUGGUAGUCCACGCCGUAAACGAUGUCUACUUGGAGGUUGUGCCCUUGAGGCGUGGCUUCCGGAGCUAACGCGUUAAGUAGACCGCCUGGGGAGUACGGCCGCAAGGUUAAAACUCAAAUGAAUUGACGGGGGCCCGCACAAGCGGUGGAGCAUGUGGUUUAAUUCGAUGCAACGCGAAGAACCUUACCUGGUCUUGACAUCCACAGAACUUUCCAGAGAUGGAUUGGUGCCUUCGGGAACUGUGAGACAGGUGCUGCAUGGCUGUCGUCAGCUCGUGUUGUGAAAUGUUGGGUUAAGUCCCGCAACGAGCGCAACCCUUAUCCUUUGUUGCCAGCGGUCCGGCCGGGAACUCAAAGGAGACUGCCAGUGAUAAACUGGAGGAAGGUGGGGAUGACGUCAAGUCAUCAUGGCCCUUACGACCAGGGCUACACACGUGCUACAAUGGCGCAUACAAAGAGAAGCGACCUCGCGAGAGCAAGCGGACCUCAUAAAGUGCGUCGUAGUCCGGAUUGGAGUCUGCAACUCGACUCCAUGAAGUCGGAAUCGCUAGUAAUCGUGGAUCAGAAUGCCACGGUGAAUACGUUCCCGGGCCUUGUACACACCGCCCGUCACACCAUGGGAGUGGGUUGCAAAAGAAGUAGGUAGCUUAACCUUCGGGAGGGCGCUUACCACUUUGUGAUUCAUGACUGGGGUGAAGUCGUAACAAGGUAACCGUAGGGGAACCUGCGGUUGGAUCACCUCCUUACCUUAAAGAAGC